UGGGGAAUAUUGGACAAUGGGCGAAAGCCUGAUCCAGCCAUGCCGCGUGAGUGACGAAGGCCUUAGGGUUGUAAAACUCUUUCGUCGGGGACGAUAAUGACGGUACCCGAAGAAGAAGCUCCGGCUAACUUCGUGCCAGCAGCCGCGGUAAUACGAAGGGAGCUAGCGUUGUUCGGAAUCACUGGGCGUAAAGCGCACGUAGGCGGAUAGUUAAGUCAGGGGUGAAAUCCUGGGGCUCAACCCCAGAACUGCCUUUGAUACUGGCUGUCUCGAGGUCGAGAGAGGUUGGUGGAAUUCCUAGUGUAGAGGUGAAAUUCGUAGAUAUUAGGAAGAACACCAGUGGCGAAGGCGGCCAACUGGCUCGAUACUGACGCUGAGAGACGAAGGCCAGGGGAGCGAAAAGGAUUAGAUACCCGAGUAGUCCCUGAGCGGGCUGGCAAGGCGCAU
rnacentral:rRNA from 1 species